UACGGAGGGGGCUAGCGUUGUUCGGAAUUACUGGGCGUAAAGCGCACGUAGGCGGCUUUGUAAGUUAGAGGUGAAAGCCCGGGGCUCAACUCCGGAAUUGCCUUUAAGACUGCAUCGCUAGAAUUGUGGAGAGGUAAGUGGAAUUCCGAGUGUAGAGGUGAAAUUCGUAGAUAUUCGGAAGAACACCAGUGGCGAAGGCGACUUACUGGCCCGAUACUGACGCUGAGGCGCGAAAGCUAGGGGAGCAAACGGG
rnacentral:rRNA from 1 species